UUCUAGCCCCUAAACAAUUUGGAACCAUGAAGUGGGUAAUAUUCAUUUCUUUCCUCUGCUUGGUACGCUUUGCUGAAUUGAAAAACCUGCCAAGAAGAUAUCGGCAUGUUGAUGAUCAUAUUAGGACCAUCAAAGUUGCCUCUAUAGUUUCAUCUGAAGAGUUUGCAGGCGCGUAAGUCUUCCAGAAAAUUCUGCUAUAAAUUGUUCAUUAGAUUCUUCUUUUUGCCUUCAGAAAGGGG